UUCACUGUGAGAUAUUCAUGUAGAGAUACAAAUAUCGAUCUAAAAUAGUUGGAUAGUCGUUUCGAUUUUUAGAGUGUUUUUUCUGACAUUUCAUGCGUGUGCGUUUUUCAUUGGUGACAUCGUUCUGAAUAGCUGAUACACGAUGGACGUCUUAAACAAACUUCGUAAUACAGUUAGCAACACUAUCACUAAUACUGUCCAAAAUACAGCAUAUGGCUUAUCGCAACUGUCCAGUGUUCUCCCUGGCAAUCCAGUCACCAGAGAGUUUGAAGCAACUGCUCAUGUGGCGAGUGCUGGGCCAGGAUUGCUGUGGAAGAUCUACAGCGGCUACAAGAAAUCCACCAAGCAAGAAGCAGCAAUUUUUGUUUUUGAAAAGCGUUUGCUGGAGAGAUGGUCCUCCAGGGCAGAUCGGGAGCUCGUGCUAGAAACUCUAAAACGGGGUGUUAUGCAAUUGACAAAGUUGAGACAUCCACAGGUUUUGAUUGUACAGCAUCCAUUGGAAGAAUCAAGGGACAGUUUGGCAUUUGCGACUGAACCAGUGUUUGCUAGUCUGGCUAAUGUAUUAGGUAAUUACGAGAAUAUACCUCAAUCAACUCCAGCAAACUUGAAAGGUUACAAGUUGCUUGACAUAGAGAUACGAUAUGGAUUGCUGCAACUGGGAGAAGGUUUGGCAUUUUUGCAUGGUGAUGUGAAAUUACUACAUAGGAAUUUAUGUCCAGAAUCGAUUGUUAUCAAUGUUCAUGGAGCUUGGAAGAUAUUUGGUUUUGAUUUUUGUGCCUUAAAUCAGAAUUCAGAUGGUAAACAGUCAUCAUGGUCUUAUCUUGAAUAUGAUUCUACGCUCCCUGCGGUUGUUCAACCUCAGUUAAAUUACCAAGCGCCAGAGUGUAUUUUAGCAAGUAGUAACGGACCAUCUAGUGAUAUUUUUGCCUUGGGUAUACUGAUAUAUACGAUACAUUCUUCGGAACAUCAACCGCUGCAGGAAUUUCAUAAUGAUUUCGGAAAAUGUCGAUGUUUCUUGGAAAAUUUCAAGGGAUGUAAUGUCUCGGCAAAACUUCUUCCAAUCCCUGAUUCACUUAGAGAUACUGUAAAGCUCAUGUUGAGUCAUAAUCCUGAAUUACGAUUAGAUGCUCAUCAAUUUAUCAAAAUCGAAUAUUUCACAGACAUUGGCGUAAAAACGUUAAAUUAUUUGGACAAAUUAUUUCAAUGGGAUAAUCUUCAGAAAUCGCAAUUUUACAAAGGUCUUCCACAGUUAUUAAAACAAUUGCCACAUAGAGUUGUGCUACAUAGAGUAUUACCUGCUCUUUAUAAGGAGUUAGUUAAUCCACCUAUGAUACCGUUUGUAUUGCCGAAUAUACUGCAAGUAAUGGAAGUUUCCGAGAUAGAAGAAUUCCGAGAACAUAUCUUACCCAAUCUAAAACCUGUUCUUGCUUUGGAAGAUCCACCACAAAUUAGCUUGGUUCUCAUGCAACAAGUAAACUUGUUAUUAAAACUGUGCCCCACGGAUGUAAUUAAGACCGACAUAGUGCCUAUGUUAUUGCAUGCAUUAGAAUCCGAAUGGGAACAGCUCCAAGAACUCUGCCUAUCGGCAUUACCAAAUAUUGUGACGAUGAUUGAGGGACCAGUUAUAAAAAAUGCCAUACUUCCGCGGAUGAAAAAAAUAUGUUUGUCGCCAGGAAAGAAAUCUACUAGUCUUGGAGUACGUGUUAAUUGUUUGCUAUGUCUCGCGAAAAUGUUGCCGAGCUUUGAUCGUUGGUUGAUAUUCGAUCAGAUAUUACCAUUCCUCCAAGAAGUUCCUCAUUCUGGCGAACCAGCAAUUUUAAUGGCUAUUAUUGGUAUUUACAGAAUGCUACUUACUCAUAGUAAGCUAGGUAUGGGCAAAGAAAUAUUGGCAACAAAGGUACUACCGUUUCUGUUACCCCUCUGUAUAGAGCAAAAUCUUAGCAUGUCGCAAUAUGAGACACUUUCCAUUCUUGUCGUCGAUAUGAUAAAUCGAGUAACUAGCGAACAUCGAGAGGCAUUACGUCAAUUGAAUGCUAUGCGUCGUGAGACGCAACAACUCGAUCAAGCGCUUUCACAAGUGACUUCACCCACCUUUAUGCAAAACAAUAGUUUAAGCGACAUUAAUUUAACGCACCAAAUGCUGUUCCCGAAUGCUAAUUCUAAUUCUAAGACUGUAAAUAUUGAGAAUGGAUUAACCAUCGAAGACAAGUUCAGGUUGAUUCAACAACAAGAAAUGCAUCAAAGAAUACAGUCUCAACCUAUGUUAACCCCUAAAGCCGUACCACAAUCUUUAAAAUCGCAACCAAAGGAUUUGACUGCGACUUUGCUAAAAAAUAAUCUAGAUGAAUUAAAUUUGUCAAUGUCAAGAUCGACUAUGUCACAAUCGACUGCUAAAAAUAUUGCACAUAAAUAUAAUGACAUUAGUCUAACGCAAUCGCAAUUUUUAACGUCUCCGACGCUUAAUUCGCAAUCAAUGUUGAAUAGAUCAAUGAAUUGGAAUUCCAAUGGAAUGAGUACACCCAUGAACUGGAACUCGCCACAAUCCUUGGUGUGGAAUUCUAUCGCUCCUCAGAAUAACGUAAAUUUUGCGACACAACCAGAGAUUAAGCCAAACUUAAACUUUCCUGGAACCUUGCAGCCUCUCACAUCACCCAUUAAUACGCAAACUAAUGUAAACAAAUCUAAUUCAUCCACGCAAGAUAUCAUGGAUUUACUUAGUUAAUAAAUUGAAAUAUCUUUAAAGUUAUCGCUAAGAUAACAAAGAGAUGUUAGAGAAUAAUAUGAAAACGAUGCAGUGAUUGCAAUACAUAGGGUGCAUUCAGUACUACAAUCGCUCACUGAGCGCUCGUAAUGGGAAACACGGAUCUAAAUCGAAAAACAAGAGUUUACUUUAAAAAGGGACAUUCAUCCUAUAGUUGUUCGUCAUAAAGAACCACUGAUUCCUUUGUUUUCGGAACACCGCGCAAUUAUGUUUCGCAGACGCCGAUAACUGUGCGUGUGCAGCGGCGGAGAAAUACUGGAUAUCGAUUAUUUAAGCUGUACUAUCGUCAUCGUCGAGAGGCGCAAGAAGAAGUACGGGACGAAAAGAAAAUUGCUUCUUCCUCAAAUAGACAUAUUAUAAAUAGAAAAGAGCCAAUGCAGAAGGAAAAAAAAAGGUUUUUAAAUGAGGGCUGCACUAAUUGGCUGAGUAUGCCUCCCUGCAAAAACCCUCCAUUCUCUUUGGGAUUGCAGCCACGAAGGGCUGCGCAGAAGUGGCUCGCG